rnacentral:lncRNA from 1 species
ACCCUCACCGGGCCCUUCUGCCCCCGCAGGCUGGCCAGGAAGCUCCGCCGCAAGGCCAGUACGGCCAUCAAGGAGAUCGACAUCCCCCGUGUCUGCAGCUGCGACUGUGACAAGCCAUCCGCCCCGGUGCCUCCACCACCGGAGCCUCCGAAGGAGCCGAAGCCCCCUCCGCCCCCUCCACCACCGGAGCCUCCGAAGGAGCCAAAGCCCCCUCCGCCCCCUCCACCACCGGAGCCUCCGAAGGAACCGAAGCCCCCUCCGCCGCCACCAGUCGUCGAAAAACCACCACCACCACCACCACCACCACCACCACCGCCACCGCCACCGCCCUCUGCACCACCGGAGCCGGGGACGCCGGACUUCUUCAUCCCGGUGGUCUAUCCGCCGGUGUGGCCGGUCUGCUGCUGCUGCCCUUACUAUCGCGGGCAAGAGAAUAGCCGCUGCGGAUGCCACAACGACGGCGGGUACCGGCCCUGCUCCUGCGGCUGCGGCAGGGGCUGCGGGUCAUCCUUCUCCGACUACGGCCGGUCCUGCGACAGCAACUGCAGAAUCGAAGUCAUCUACGAGGAACCUAACACCUGCUCGCUCAUGUGAAACAAAGCCGGAACUCACUGUAAUGCCUUCCUCUUCCAUCCGCUGUUCAUCCCCUCGCCCCCCCGAUGAGAAGGCUCAAGCCUCUCAGAUGAUUGUUGCCUCCGUCGCAAGUUUGAUUGUCUGUGUGAUGUUUGACGCAGAAUAUAUAUAUAAAAUAAUGGACAAAUCAAAGCCAGCUAAUCUUUCGGGGAGAUGAAGACGAUGAGCUCGGGAAGAAGAAGAAAAAAUUGGGGACUAUGAACAGGGGAAGGGGACCUAGAACACGCCGAGGUCGCCAUCUUAAGUUUGUUUGCCGACGGCCAAAUUCCAUCCGCUCAUCUACAGAAUUCAUGAUCAUAUUCCGGCGCAUCGUUGAAACACGGUCGGCUAGAAAUGAAUGCGGCGACGAAGAUCUAGGAGAAAGGGACAGGAUACUUACAUGCUUUGGCCGGAAUCUCUGUUGAGCCGGCGAUAAGCAGCAAGAGGACGGCAUUCCUUCCCCCCGGCGAAGAUCGGUGAAGCCCCCCAGGUUUCCUCGCCUCCUAUCUUACCGGAAGGGGGAGUGGAAACGCCGGCGGAGGGCCGUCGUCCUCCGGCUCAAGCGACCGAUCGAUCCCCGUAGGCGCAAGCAGGCGAAGUAUUCAUAAUCCCUGCACAUGGAAAAAUCGAGAGCGCAAUGAACAAAUCCUUUGCCAACCUGCGAAGUUUUCGUUUCCGCCGUGACGCUGUCUUCAUCAGAGAAUAGAGAAUUCCAUACUCAUGCCGGCAGUCUUCGCCAAUAAAAUACGAUCAGGGCUUUUUGAGGUCGAAGACGGCUAGAUCCGUCAUUUCGAUGAGGUGGUGUCGUUUUGGGAAUCCGAUCAUCUGAUGACGCUGGGCGGUGGCGGUCGGUGGCAUCAUCCCCCGAAGAAAUGUACCUCGCCGAGCGUUUCCCCAUCACGGAAUCUCCGCUCGCCAAGCUAACCCC